CUUUCUCCGCCGGCGACCGGCGCACGGGUGAGUAACACGUAUGCAACCUGCCCCUGUCAGGGGGACAACCCGCCGAAAGGCGGGCUAAACCCGCGUACAUGCCACCGGGGCAUCCCGGAGGCAGGAAAGGCUUCGGCCGGACAGGGAUGGGCAUGCGGCGCAUUAGGCAGUAGGCGGGGUAACGGCCCACCUAGCCGACGAUGCGUAGGGGUUCUGAGAGGAAGGUCCCCCACACUGGUACUGAGACACGGACCAGACUCCUACGGGAGGCAGCAG
rnacentral:rRNA from 1 species